GGUCUUGAUGAAGAUGAAGAUGAGAAGCAGAACUACAGUGAGGAGGAAGCUCAGGACAUCCAGGCUGUGAUACUGGUACCAGCACCUCUGGAAACAGAAGCUGCAGGUCUUGAUGAAGAUGAAGAUGAGAAGCAGAACUACAGUGAGGAGGAAGCUCAGGACAUCCAGGCUGUGAUACUGGUACCAGGACUGUGGUUCUACCAGGCCUCGGAGCUGCCACAGCUGGAUCCAGGCGACGGAGCGUCGGUGUCACUCGUCGUGGUCCAGGGG